GAUGAACGCUGGCGGCGUGCCUAAUACAUGCAAGUCGAGCGAAGCGGGGACGGGUGAGUAACACGUGGCUAAUCUCCUCUAAGACUGGGAUAACUUCGGGAAACCGCAGCUAAACCGGAUACUUAUUAAUGGGUACGGGCUGCAGUAGCUAGUAGGUAAGGUAACGGCUUACCAAGGCUACGAUGCAUCGCCGACCUGAGAGGGUGAUCGGCCACACGGGAACUGAGACACUGUCCAGACUCCUACGGGAGGCAGCAGUAGGGAAUCUUCCGCAAUGGGCGAAAGCCUGACGGAGCAACGCCGCGUGAGUGAGGCAGGGCUUCGGAUCGUAAAACUCGGUUAUUAGGGAAGCGGUACCUAAUCAGAAAGCCACGGCUAACUACGUGCCAGCAGCCGCGGUAAUAC
rnacentral:rRNA from 1 species